rnacentral:tRNA from 1 species
GCCUGUUUGGCACAGCGGUUAAGCGUCUGCCUUCGGCUCAGGGCGUGAUCCCGGUGUUGUGGGAUCGAGCCCCACAUCAGGCU